rnacentral:ncRNA from 2 species
GAUCAAGAAAUCUGACGGAUAAGGCCCCUCGGCUCGUCGAUUAGCAACCGCGCUCAUCGCGCACGGUGCUCCCGAGGGAAGAUCCGCCGGCACGCGCAACCGCCGCGCCGGAAGAGCGAUAU